UGACGUAUUUUUUGAUGGUAUGUCGGAGCUGUGGACUGCAGCUGUCAUGGUCUGCUGCAAAAUGUCUUUAUUUCAGUGGACUAGCAAUACGAUAGUACACGGUUUGGAUGUUCGCACGAUUAGGCUUCGCGAAAGCGCGUUUGUGUCGCAGCUACGGGUUCCUCAGUGCCUCCCGGUCAUUGAAGAAGGCAGAUUACUGUAACGGUAUGUCUUUGUAAAAUAUCUGCUUCCUCGCAAAGAAAGUGAAAACCAGAAAAUUGAACCAGAGUUGACCUCUGGACCGCGUAAUUCGGUAACACUACGGACAGUAUAGUAACAUCGCAUCUUUGGACAGAGCAGUUCGACGGCAAAGACACUGACUCUGCGCGCGCAGCAGCGCUCGUGACGUCACUCACCACCUUGCGGUGAAGCGCGCUCACCGCUGGGCAAAGGGAGGUAAGCAGGAGCCCAAAGCGAGAGAGGUAGGCAUCGACGGGAUUGUCUGAAGGAGGUGAACAUGGAAGUUGCCCACGGAAGCCCACUCCAAGAGAGUGGUAGUCAGAGCUUGUCGACGUCAAGAUUCUCUUACACCAAGCUGCGUCAACCGCUGCUCCUAAACAGCUGGCAGCACCGCACUCAGCAGGAGAAAAGAGAACUUUCACAACGUUUGAAGGUGGAGGUGGAGCGCCUGAGUGAGUACAACGAACGACUGAAGAGAUUGAAGGCUUUACCCAAGAAAACUGUACCUGAAAUCGAAACCAAGAGGGAUCGCCGGCCACGAGACGAGACGCACGAGCAGACGAUCCUCCAAGAGGGCAAGCGGGGGAAACAAUGGCCUUUCCCCGACCAUCAGGUCUCCACGGUCAGUGGCCCCGGUCAGCAACCAUCACUUCUGUAGGCAAGCCGGAAAAGCGAAAAGAGGAAAGUAAGGAACUGGUCCUACCGAAAAUCAGCAUACCUCGAGAUGCGCUUGAGAAAUCGGGGGAGCUAGUACCGGUGGCGACAGGUGUGGUGAAAACGCCUUUCCACGCCGACGCUCGUCUCAGCGUUCUCGCCAGCACGAUCGUGUCCCGGAAGAAGUGGGGUAAGCUGGGUGGCCAGAUGACAGAGGAAGAGGCAGAGACACCCACCCGCAGGACAGAGAAAGAAAAGCGCAGCUACAGCAUCUUCAUGAAGGCGUUGCGAACUGCUCACUCCAUAGCAUCGCAAGAAGUGCGCCGAAAAUGGAAGAACCUGAUUACCAUGGUACGCAUGGUCAAUGGCUUUCUCUGGGAAUUCACCAGAAGGUCGAGAAUAAAAGAUCCCAUUUUGUCGCCUUUUCUUGACUUUGAGACCCAAGAGUCACGCAGGAGGAUGGAUAUUGCUCUCAUGAAACCAAAGGCCGUAACAGAGGUAUCUCCGAACUCGAAUGCAGUAUUAAUGUUAUGCAAACCUCAUUAUGCUCGUACUGAAGACGAAAUUGAGACGGUUCUGACUAACUUGCGGUACCUGAAGGGCUUUUGUAGCUUCACAGAAGAUAUUCAGGUCAAGUUGGCCAAGUAUGGCAGGCAUAUGGAAGUGGGAGCAAAUAGAGUGAUAGUUCGACAGGGUCAGGAUCCGCGAUUCUGGUAUUUUGUCAUUACCGGUCAAGCUUUAGCGACAGAGAUUUCGGAAAACAACAAGAGUAUCAGCAACGUCAUUUCUCAAGGUGAUACUUUUGUGGAGGGAGACUUCGAGAAGGGAUGCCCGCGAUCGUGUUCAGUGAUGUCACGCAGAAACAUGCAGCUUCUUGUGAUCAGCAAAAAGCACUACUGGCACGUCUUUCAUGACACAAGCUUGCAGGAUAAAUAUCCUGAUCAUUUGGAGUUUAUCAGGCACAUGGACUUCAUGAAGUUCUGGCCCUGUGACAUGCUACUUAAGUAUCCCAGUCAAUGUUAUCAGAAAUAUUUCAAAAACGACGUUGUGUUGUGUACGGACAGUGCCAAGUCUAACCACAUCUAUAUCGUGCGAACAGUCGGGUACUUGUGUGGUCUACAAGUUUGUAGAAGCGGUUAAGCAUCAUGGAAGGACUUAGAGCUUUGGCUGGCUAAUCCCAUGAUUGACAUAGACGGCUGGCCUGCCUGCAGGACAGACACAAGGUUCGUUGAAAAGCGCCCGAACAGGUAUCAGCUGUACCAACGUUUGUCUGCCCGCAAUCUCCAUGCCACGAACCUGGCGGCAAUCUCCUGCCUGUACCUCAGCUCCGGCUUGCGUAC